rnacentral:rRNA from 1 species
GGUCCAGUCUACUUCUUAGAGGGAUAAGCGGUGUUUAGCCGCACGAGAUUGAGCGAUAACAGGUCUGUGAUGCCCUUAGAUGUCCGGGGCUGCACGCGCGCUACAAUGGAAGAAUCAGCUGGCCUAUCCAUUGCCGAAAGGCAUUGGUAAACCGUUGAAACUCUUCCGUGACCGGGAUAGGGAAUUGUAAUUAUUUCCCUUGAACGAGGAAUUCCUAGUAAGUGUGAGUCAUCAGCUCACGCUGAUUACGUCCCUGCCAUUUGUACACACCGCCCGUCGCUGUCCGGGACUGAGCUGUCUCGAGAGGACUGCGGACUGCUGUAUCGAGGCCUUCGGGUCGCGUUAUGGCGGGAAACAGUUCAAUCGCAAUGGCUUGAACCGGGUAAAAGUCGUAACAAGGUAUCUGUAGGUGAACCUGCAGAUGGAUCAUCGUCGAAGCCAUUAAAUGGUUCCUUUGAUCAUGAGAAACCAACAUGCUGGUGUGUUUGCGACUUUGUCGCGAAACGUUGGGAGUAUCGCCCCCGUUAGAGCUCUCUCUGUGAGGUGUCUGUGUGUGACAUGAGUCGUUCUUGAGUGGCGGCAGUGAUUGUUCAUGCGUAUAGUUCCCAUUCGUGGUUGAGCUUCAGACUUAAUGAGCAUUGCUAGAAUGCCGCCUUGCAUACGGUUAAGUGUAGAUGGUGGUUAGGCCGGCGUGAGCUUAAUUGUAAACGUCGUGCGGUACCUGGCUGUCAGGAAAUCUUAAUGAUCCUGCUUUUAUAGCGGACGCCAACUUCACAAACCACAAACGUUUCUAUGUUUAAUGUUUGCAGAAACGUGACCAUUCUAUGGUUACAAUGUCAUGGACUAGCUUCAGCGAUGGAUCGGUCGAUUCGCGUAUCGAUGAAGACNC